rnacentral:rRNA from 1 species
AACGAACGCUGGCGGCAUGCCUAAUACAUGCAAGUCGAACGAGACUUUUGGGUCUCGUGGCGCACGGGUGCGUCACGCGUGGGAUCCUGCCCUUAGGUUCGGAAUAACUCCCCGCAAGGGGUGCUAAUACCGGAUAUUGUACUCGGACACAAGUUUUAUUGCCUUAUGAUGGUCCUGCGUUGGUUUAGACUGUUGGUAGGGUAACAGCCUACCAAGGUGACGAUCCAUAGCUGGUCUGAGAGGAUGAUCAGCCACACUGGGACUGGGACACGGCCCAGACUCCUACGGGAGGCAGCAGUGGGGAAUAUUGGACAAUGGGCGAAAGCCGGAUCCAGCAAGGCCGCGUGAGUGAUGAAUGCCUGAGGAUUGUAAAGCACUUUUACCCGUGAUGAUAAUAACGGUACCGGGAGAAUAAGCUCCGGCUAACUCCGU